CAAAAUCCGGGCGCAGGAUUCAAGGGACUGGGACGAGGAGUUUAGGCUCUGAAGCAAUCGGAAGUGGUUCCAAGAAAAGCCUCUAAGCUUCAGUCAUACGAGACCGUACCGCAAACCGACACAGGUGGGCGAGAUGAGUAUUCUAAGGCGCUUGAGAGAACUCGGGAGAAGGAACUCGGCAAAUUGGUACCGUAACUUCGGGAAAAGGUACGCCCUUGUAGCUUGGCUGAUUUACUUCAGUAGGGCGAACGGGUUGCAAUAAACUGGUGGCUGCGACUGUUUAAUAAAAACACAGCACUCUGCAAACACGAAAGUGGACGUAUAGGGUGUGACGCCUGCCCGGUGCUGGAAGAUUAAAUGAUGGGGUGCAAGCUCUUGAUUGAAGUCCCAGUAAACGGCGGCCGUAACUAUAACGGUCCUAAGGUAGCGAAAUUCCUUGUCGGGUAAGUUCCGACCUGCACGAAUGGCGUAACGAUGGCCACACUGUCUCCUCCCGAGACUCAGCGAAGUUGAAGUGUUUGUGAUGAUGCAAUCUACCCGCGGCUAGACGGAAAGACCCCAUGAACCUUUACUGUAGCUUUGCAUUGGACUUUGAAUCAAUCUGUGUAGGAUAGGUGGGAGGCUUUGAAGCGGGGACGCCAGUUCUCGUGGAGCCAACCUUGAAAUACCACCCUGGUUCAUUUGAGGUUCUAACCUUGGCCCGUUAUCCGGGUCGGGGACAGUGCAUGGUAGGCAGUUUGACUGGGGCGGUCUCCUCCUAAAGUGUAACGGAGGAGUUCGAAGGUACGCUAGGUACGGUCGGACAUCGUGCUAAUAGUGCAAUGGCAUAAGCGUGCUUAACUGCGAGACUGACAAGUCGAGCAGGUACGAAAGUAGGACAUAGUGAUCCGGUGGUUCUGUAUGGAAGGGCCAUCGCUCAACGGAUAAAAGGUACUCUGGGGAUAACAGGCUGAUUCCUCCCAAGAGUUCAUAUCGACGGGGGAGUUUGGCACCUCGAUGUCGGCUCAUCACAUCCUGGGGCUGUAGCCGGUCCCAAGGGUAUGGCUGUUCGCCAUUUAAAGUGGUACGUGAGCUGGGUUUAAAACGUCGUGAGACAGUUUGGUCCCUAUCUGCCGUGGGCGUUGGAAAUUUGAAGGGGGCUGCUCCUAGUACGAGAGGACCGGAGUGGACAGACCUCUGGUGUACCGGUUGUCACGCCAGUGGCAUUGCCGGGUAGCUAAGUCUGGAAGAGAUAACCGCUGAAAGCAUCUAAGCGGGAAACUUGCCUUAAGAUGAGAUUUCCCAGAGCCUUGAGCUCUUUGAAGGGUCGUUCGAGACCAGGACGUUGAUAGGUCAGGUGUGGAAGUGAAA
rnacentral:rRNA from 1 species